rnacentral:lncRNA from 1 species
CGCCCAAGGUCACACAGCUGGGAUGUGGCAGAGCUGGGGUUCCAGCUCCUGUUCCCAUUGCUGGACAGCUGCCACAUCUGGCACCCAAUUUAGGACCCCGCGGGGAGGCCCAAGCCCCGGGGGUGGCGGGGGAUCCUAGAGGAAAGUGGCAAGGCCAGGACCCUGGAGCAGAGCCAGGGUAGAAAACUGAGGCUCUGAGAGAUGAAGCUACUUGCCAAGGUCACGCAGCACAGUCACAUCCUACUGAACAUCAUCCUGUUCUCUGGGGGGGGCAGUGUGAGAUGACGGGACCAGAGCACGUUCCUGGCUGCAGAGGCCACAAGUCACGCUGUCUCUGAGAGGGGAAUGUCACCAUCGCCCAGGUGGGGAUUUUUGUGUGUUUUGUUCACUGCUGUACACCCAGCCCCCAGCACAGCGCCUGUCCAGGACAAGUGCCCAGUAAACACUUGGGAAGCAAUGCAAGCGUGCGUGCAUGGAUAAGUAUUUCUUUGGCAGAUGAGGGGGCUAAGGUUCAGAGAAGGCCCUGGGGGUCUCAGACUCAUAGCCCAGUGCUCUUUCUGCUGACACGCCCUGGUCUCUGGGGCAGUUUGUUGCCUGUUCAGCAACAAAGAGGGUGUGCCUCGUUAGGGGUCCUGCGUGCGAAUCGCAGUCCCUGCGUGUCUUGGCUGGAGGUCACCACCCUCUCUGCUCCAGGGCCUGUAAUUACCACUUACCCUGGUCAAUGGGUCCGAGAGAUUACCCUUGUAGGCAGGGCUGUGGCCAGGGUGCUCACCUGGCCCCCAGCAGGUCCCAUGGGCACUGUCUGGCCGGGCUUCAUGGCUGACAUUCCAGGUCCUCCCAGCAGCUCCUGCAAACAGACCCCCGACCCAAGCCCUUCCUUCUGCCUCCACUGCCACCACUGCUGCUCAUCUCUGCUGGCACAGAAGUCUCUUCCCUGGUCUUCCAGAAAUCCCCUCUCCACACUCAGCCAGAGGGAGCUAUUAAAACUGUGGGCCAGCCCACAUCAGUCCACAGCAAAGUCCUCUCUAAGGGAUCUCUGUUGCUUGGAGAAUAAACCCUCGGAUUCCUUCCUUGGCUCUCGGGGCCUCCUCUCUGACCUCCCUCUGUCUCCUCUCCCAGCCUUCCUCCUCACUCACCCUCCAGCCAUGCUGGCUUCCUCCUUGCUCCUGAAACAGCCUGAGGCCCACACUGCCCCGGGCCCUUUGCACUGGCUGUUUCCUCUGCCUGGAACACUUCUCCUAGGCAUCCACAGGGCUCCCUCCCACAACUCCUUCGGGUGCCCACAUGGGAAGCCAUCCCUGACCACCCCCCCGACUUCCUUCUGAGCAAGGUAGGGUCUUUCUACCUAGUCAUGAGGGCAGGGAUUUUUGUCUGUUGUGUUCUCUGUGUGCCCCCAGUGCCAUCCCAGUGCCUGGCAGAUGGUAAGUGCUCGACACACAUUGGCUGACUGCCUGAAUGAACAACUCUAUGAGCCGAUGGCAGAUAAGGACACUGAGGUCCUCUGGGGUAGGUGACCAGCCCAAGGCCACACAGCUGGUCUGAGAUUAGGCCAGGAGAGGAGCCCGGGUUGGUCACAUCCUGGAGUUGGCGUCUUGGAAACUGCAUCAGGAGAAUAACAAAGAUGAGACGCAGGCUCUAACAAGUGGAUACCAGUGACUCUCGCCCCGCCAGCCCCAGCCCUGCAGCCUUGGGCCCUUCCAGGAGUCAUGGUCUGCCUGCCUGGGGCAUUCCAGGCUUCGACCCAGGUCCUGCACUUUCUAUUUUGAGCCUCUUAGUCCUGAGGACUGUGUGUUCCCAGCAGGCGGCGCGGGCCAGAGGCUGAGCCUGGGUGUGGCUGUCACCCUAUCUGGGGCCAGAGACCCAGAUUCCCGGGCCCUUAACCUGUUGGCUGCUGAGGGCUCUGGCAUAAGCCCUGUUCCCUGCUUGAUUGUCUCCCCUUCAAGCCCCUGCCCUGGUAUCGUAUCGGCCCAUCUCACCUUGGAUUAUAUCCCUGUUUGGCCCCAUUUGAAUCCUGGCUCUGCCCCUUUCCAGCAAUGUGACCUUGGGCAAGUCACUUCAUCUCUCUGGGUCUCAGUUUCUUCAUCUGGGAAAUGGGGACAAUAAGAGUACCUGUCUCUGGCCAUGUGUGGUGACUCAUGCCUGUAACCCCAGCGCUUUGGGAAGCCGAGGCGAGAGAAUUGCUUGAGACCAGGAGUUUGAGAUCAGCCCUGGGCAACAUAGUGAGACCCCUGUCUCUACAAAAUUCUAAAAAAAUUAGCCGGGUGUGGUGGUGUGUGCCUGUAGUCCCAGCUAUUCUAGAGGCUGAGGCGGGAGGAUUGCUUGAGCCCAGGAGUUUGAGGCUGCAGUGAGCUAUGAUUAUGCCCCUGCACAUCAGCCUGGGUGAUAGAUUGAGGCCCCAUCUCUAAAAAUAACAAUACUAAUAAUAAAUAAAAAUGAAAAUGAGUACCUGUC